rnacentral:rRNA from 1 species
UUGAUCCUGGCUCAGAGUGAACGCUGGCGGCGUGGAUUAGGCAUGCAAGUCGUACGCGAAAGUUGCCUUCGGGUGGCGAGUAGAGUGGCGAAAGGGUGAGUAAUGCAUGGUUAACAUACCCUGGAGACCGGGAUAACUUGCUGAAAGGCGGGCUAAUACCGGAUGGUUUCCCACGGGAAUAAACGGCGGGGCUCCUUCGGGACCUGCUGCUCCAGGAGUGGACCAUGUCCCAUCAGUUAGUUGGUGAGGUAAGAGCUCACCAAGGCAAUGACGGGUAGCUGGUCUGAGAGGAUGGUCAGCCACACUGGGACUGAGACACUGCCCAGACUUCUACGGGAGGCUGCAGUCGAGAAUCAUCCGCAAUGGGCGCAAGCCUGACGGUGCGACGCCGCGUGAAGGAUGAAGGCCUUCGGGUUGUAAACUUCUAACACGGGUUAAGAAACGCCUGGCAUUAAUAGUGUCGGGUUUGACGUAACCCCGAGAUGAAGCACUGGCUAACUCCGUGCCAGCAGCCGCGGUAAUACGGAGAGUGCAAGCGUUACUCGGAAUCACUGGGCUUAAAGGACACGUAGGCGGCCUCGUAAGUCAGUUGUGAAAGCUCUCGGCUCAACCGAGGAACUGCAGCUGAUACUGCGAAGCUAGAGGACGGUAGGGGAGAGCGGAACUCUUGGUGGAGCGGUGAAAUGCGUAGAUAUCAAGAGGAACACCGGUGGCGAAGGCGGCUCUCUGGUCCGUUACUGACGCUGAGGUGUGAAAGCCAGGGUAGCGAACGGGAUUAGAUACCCCGGUAGUCCUGGCCCUAAACGAUGAGCACUAGGUAGUGGAAGCCCUGCGUUUUCACUGCUGUAGCGAAAGCGUUAAGUGCUCCGNCUGGGGAGUACGGUCGCAAGGCUGAAACUCCAAGGAAUUGACGGGGGCUCACACAA